GAUGAACGCUGGCGGCGUGCCUAAUACAUGCAAGUAGAACGCUGAAGGAAGGAGCUUGCUCUUUCCGGAUGAGUUGCGAACGGGUGAGUAACGCGUAGGUAACCUGCCUGUUAGCGGGGGAUAACUAUUGGAAACGAUAGCUAAUACCGCAUAACAGUGGAUGUUGCAUGAUAUCUACUUAAAAGGUGCAAUUGCACCACUACCAGAUGGACCUGCGUUGUAUUAGCUAGUUGGUGAGGUAACGGCUCACCAAGGCGACGAUACAUAGCCGACCUGAGAGGGUGGUCGGCCACACUGGGACUGAGACACGGCCCAGACUCCUACGGGAGGCAGCAGUAGGGAAUCUUCGGCAAUGGACGGAAGGCUGACCGAGCAACGCCGCGUGAGGGAAGAAGGUUUUCGGAUCGUAAAGCUCUGUUGUAAGAGAAGAAAGAGUGUGAGAGUGGAAAGUUCACACUGUGACGGUAUCUUACCAGAAAGGGACGGCUAACUACGUG
rnacentral:rRNA from 1 species